UACGUAGGGGGCGAGCGUUGUCCGGAUUCAUUGGGCGUAAAGCGCGCGCAGGCGGCUAGAAGAGCCCGGCGUGAAAGCCCCCGGCUCAACCGGGGGAGGUCGUCGGGGACCUUUUGGCUGGAGGCCGGCAGGGGCGAGCGGAAUUCCCGGUGUAGUGGUGGAAUGCGUAGAGAUCGGGAGGAACACCAGUGGCGAAGGCGGCUCGCUGGGCCGGUCCUGACGCUCAGGCGCGAAAGCGUGGGGAGCGAUCCGG
rnacentral:rRNA from 1 species